GUGCUCACUUCGGCAGCACAUAUACUAAAAU
rnacentral:snRNA from 1 species